GAAUGCUGACAUAAGUAACGAUAAAGCGGGUGAAAAGCCCGCUCGCCGGAAGACCAAGGGUUCCUGUCCAACGUUAAUCGGGGCAGGGUGAGUCGACCCCUAAGGCGAGGCCGAAAGGCGUAGUCGAUGGGAAACGGGUUAAUAUUCCCGUACUUGGUGUUACUGCGAAGGGGGGACGGAGAAGGCUAUGUUGGCCGGGCGACGGUUGUCCCGGUUUAAGCGUGUAGGCUGGUUUUCCAGGCAAAUCCGGAAAAUCAAGGCUGAGGCGUGACGACGAGGCACCACGGUGCUGAAGCAACAAAUGCCCUGCUUCCAGGAAAAGCCUCUAAGCAUCAGGUAACACGAAAUCGUACCCCAAACCGACACAGGUGGUCAGGUAGAGAAUACCAAGGCGCUUGAGAGAACUCGGGUGAAGGAACUAGGCAAAAUGGUGCCGUAACUUCGGGAGAAGGCACGCUGACACGUAGGUGAAGUGAUUUACUCAUGGAGCUGAAGUCAGUCGAAGAUACCAGCUGGCUGCAACUGUUUAUUAAAAACACAGCACUGUGCAAACACGAAAGUGGACGUAUACGGUGUGACGCCUGCCCGGUGCCGGAAGGUUAAUUGAUGGGGUUAUCCUCG
rnacentral:rRNA from 1 species